AAAUGAGUGUGAGCAGUCUUCACCGAGGGCAUUUGUAAUUACCACAAACCCCAUUCUGCACCGAAGCUCCACAGCUAGUCACGGCCAAGGAACGGGCACAGCCUCUACUCCAACCAGGGGACUUAAACGUUGCCUCAGAUCAAUUUCCAGGUCCAUUCUAGAAUCUUCUCGAACGGCCCAGUGGACCUCCACCCCCACCACCAGCUCUACCCGCCAAGCCAAUCUGCGCCCUGUGCCCGGUUGCCAGGGGAAAAGGAGACUCGAGCCGACAUUAGCCUCGAGGCUCACUCCAGAUCCCCGCACCCACGGGGUGGAGGGCGGGAGAUAGCAGACCAUGAUCUUAGUGAGUCAAGGUUAUGCUUGUGUUACCUCAUAGCACUGAAGAGAAAACAGAUUGAGAACGGUUGCACUGGACUGUCCAUUCCUUGAGGGCAGGGCCAUAUCUUCACCUCUGCAUCUCCAGUGUCCAGCACUUAACCUGAUCUUACUGGAAGCCCAGGCCCUAUGUGAAGCUUAAUCAGUGUUUAUUAAGUGCCUGCUAUUUUAUUUCUGGGGACUCUGAAAUUUUAUGAUCUUCUUACCCCUCAGAAAUGGACUCAACUCAGCCAUAAAAAUGAACGAAAUCUUGCCAUCUGCCACAACAUGGAUGGACCUAGAAGGUAUUAUGCUGAAUGGAGUAAGUCAG